CUCUCUCUUGAUAUUCGAUUUAAUGUUAUUUGAUGAUUUAAUCUCUCUGUUCGAUUCAAUGAUUUGGGGAAUUUAGGUUCAAAUUAGGGUUCAUUGAUUUGGGGAAAUUAGGGUAAAAUCUAGGGUUAAUCACUUGUUUUUGGUAUAUUUAGGAAUGAUUUUGAAUAGGUUUACACCAAUUAAAUUCGAUUGUUGUGUAGAUAGUUGAUAAUCCGAUUCUUUGGAUGACAUGAAUUAAAUGUUUGUUUGUUUACACCAAUUACAUGUCUGAUAAUCCGAGGGUUAACUCCAAUUAAUAUGAUUGUUGUGUCUGUUUGUUUGAGUUAAAAUGUUUGGAGCACAAUGUCUGUUUGUUUGAGUUAAAAUGUUUGGAGCACAAUGUCUGUUUGUUUGAGUUUGGAGCACAAUGUGUUAAAGUGUUGUGUCUGUUUGUUUGAGUUUUUUUGUCCGUUUGUGGCAUUGUUCUCUAUUUAACCUUUUUUGUGUGUAUAUUUAUCAGAGUUAUAUGAGUCUUCUGCAGUUCAUGGUAGGGCUAUUGACUAGUGGAAUGUAUGCAUCGGAGCUAAGUGGGAUGUACUCAAGUCAACUUGAACUCCAUAUUUGCAUCUCUCUCAUGUUGCCAAACACACACUCGAUUCAUGCAUUAAAGUAGCGUAAAUCUUAUUUGAAGGGGCAUCUAGUUGAUCUUGUUCAAAGAGAGGUGACAAAUUUGUUGCAAUCUGCUCUAGAUGUUGCGUUGUAAUAUGUUGGUAUUUAACAGAGCAUGUGUUGUAAUAUUUGCUACCUUUUUCUACAAAGCUAUUGACAACUGUAUUAUUGUUUGUUCCACUUGUAUAUAUAAAGGCCAUUUAUGUUAAUAAACAA